rnacentral:tRNA from 1 species
AGGCUUUAUAGUCAAUUAUAUGAUAUUAGAUUGCAAAUCUGAAGUAGUUUAAAACUGAGGCCUAAACUUAUAAUAAAGCUU